UUAUUAGGUGGCAGUAUAUCUGGGUGUAGGGGUAGUCGAUAGGGCUGGGAUGAUAUGCCUUUGUCCAGACUCGAUUCUUUGACGAUAUACAAGUGCCGAUUCGAUUUGUAUUGCGAAUAUCAUUUAUUGCGGUUGUAGAAGUACUGUGGUUCCAUAGUAUGGAGUGUUGCGAUUUUGUUUUCCUUCUUUAACAAAAGUUGAAGCAUACACUUAUAGAGACAAUAUAUUCAGAGACAUUUCCAAAAAUAAAUUGUUUCCUAAGAAGAAUGCACAUUGCAUUGUCAGUCAGUCAGUCAGACACUUAUUUCAUUUGUAAAGCAUUUUCUGCUUUCGGUCUGUUUUGCUGGAAACCAAUGGUGAAGUCAUCUUCAACGGUACCGUAUAAACACAGAAUAUUUAGGUGAAUCAUAGAUACAAAAAAAAAAUAAGAUUCUGGAGAAAAGAAUCUACUUUAAAAAGCAUAGCAAAAUAAAAAUACACGAUACAUACGUGAAUCGUUUUUUAUCCCCACCCCUAGUAGUCGACAUGAUGGUUAAGAAUGUAAAGAGGAGGAGGGUCCACUAUGACACCACCCACCUAAUGACUUCAUGAGGAUCUGCUGACAGGAGGGUUUACUCAAACAGGAGGUUGGAAAGACAAUGAAUUACAGCAACAAGAUUUUGAUCGUGUGUAUUGUUCAAUAUAACCAAACACUUGGAAAACAAAAUGAUCAUCUUAUUCCUCAGCAUUACUUUGAACACAAUUCUGGUUUCAGGUUCCUCUCUCAGUGACAAAGUCUACCAGACUCCAGCUCAUGUGUUCAACGAACCCAAAGAAACAGCCAAAAUCAACUGUUCACACAGUAUUGACAGCUACAACCGAAUCCUCUGGUACAAGCAAUCGGACAGACAACUGCAGUUCCUGGGAUACAUGUUAGCAACCAGUGGAAACCCAGAGGCUGGUCUGGGUGUGAAGAUAGAAGGGAGUGCAAAUAAAGACCAAAACUGCACAUUAACAAUUGAAGAACUCAGCCUGAGCAGCAGUGCAGUGUACUUCUGUGCUGCUAGUUUACACAGUGCUACAUAUCACUACUCCUCAGUACAAAAACCUCCUCACAGCUGUGUUCCUUCCUCAGUAUAUCAUUACUCAGAUCUGUAUGCUGAGCCAGUGGUGUGUAAAAGCUAGUUACCAUGAGUUAUAUACACAAUGACACCACCCACCUAAAGACCUGGGAGGGUUUACUCAAAGAGGAGGCUGGAAAUACUCAGUUAGUACAACUGCUUCAUUCAUUGCGACAACAAAUUAGUGUUCCUAUUUUGAUCUAGAUUUUCCAAAACCACCUAACACUCAGAAAAAAAACACAAUGAUCAUCACAUUCCUUUGUAUUACUUGUACCUCUAUUCUGGUUUCAGGUUCCUCUCUCAGUGACAACGUCCACCAGACUCCAGCUGAUGUGUUCAACAAACCUGAUGAAACGUUAGAAAUCAACUGUAAACACAGCAUUCAGAACUACAACCAAAUCCUCUGGUACAAGCAAUCGGACAGACAACUGCAGCUCCUGGGAUACAUGAUGAUAACCAGUGGAAACCCAGAGGCUGGCCUGGGUGUGAAGAUAGAAGGGAGUGCAGCUAAAGACCAGACCUGCACAUUAACAAUUGAAAAACUCAGCCUGAGCAGCAGUGCAGUGUACUUCUGUGCUGCUUGGUUACACAGUGCUACAUAUCACUGCUCCUCAGUACAAAAACCUCCUCAUCACACUCAUUCUUUAUCUCUGUAUUAAAGCUCACAGUGCCUCCGUGCACCUGGAAUAAGCCAGUCUAACCAAUGUCUGUCUCUCUUCUGAUUAAGAUCCAAAAUUAGAAUGGGAGGUC